rnacentral:ncRNA from 1 species
UUGAGCUGUAUGCGGUGAAAGUCGCACGUACAGUUCUUAGAGGGGGAAAGGUUUGUAAAGACCCUACCUAUCUCAAC